rnacentral:rRNA from 1 species
GAUGAACGCUGGCGGCGUGCCUAAUACAUGCAAGUCGAGCGAACGGACGAGAAGCUUGCUUCUCUGAUGUUAGCGGCGGACGGGUGAGUAACACGUGGAUAACCUACCUAUAAGACUGGGAUAACUUCGGGAAACCGGAGCUAAUACCGGAUAAUAUUUUGAACCGCAUGGUUCAAAAGUGAAAGACGGUCUUGCUGUCACUUAUAGAUGGAUCCGCGCUGCAUUAGCUAGUUGGUAAGGUAACGGCUUACCAAGGCAACGAUGCAUAGCCGACCUGAGAGGGUGAUCGGCCACACUGGAACUGAGACACGGUCCAGACUCCUACGGGAGGCAGCAGUAGGGAAUCUUCCGCAAUGGGCGAAAGCUUGACGGAGCAACGCCGCGUGAGUGAUGAAGGUCUUCGGAUCGUAAAACUCUGUUAUUAGGGAAGAACAUAUGUGUAAGUAACUGUGCACAUCUUGACGGUACCUAAUCAGAAAGCCACGGCUAACUACGUGCCAGCAGCCGCGGUAAUACGUAGGUGGCAAGCGUUAUCCGGAAUUAUUGGGCGUAAAGCGCGCGUAGGCGGUUUUUUAAGUCUGAUGUGAAAGCCCACGGCUCAACCGUGGAGGGUCAUUGGAAACUGGAAAACUUGAGUGCAGAAGAGGAAAGUGGAAUUCCAUGUGUAGCGGUGAAAUGCGCAGAGAUAUGGAGGAACACCAGUGGCGAAGGCGACUUUCUGGUCUGUAACUGACGCUGAUGUGCGAAAGCGUGGGGAUCAAACAGGAUUAGAUACCCUGGUAGUCCACGCCGUAAACGAUGAGUGCUAAGUGUUAGGGGGUUUCCGCCCCUUAGUGCUGCAGCUAACGCAUUAAGCACUCCGCCUGGGGAGUACGACCGCAAGGUUGAAACUCAAAGGAAUUGACGGGGACCCGCACAAGCGGUGGAGCAUGUGGUUUAAUUCGAAGCAACGCGAAGAACCUUACCAAAUCUUGACAUCCUUUGACAACUCUAGAGAUAGAGCUUUCCCCUUCGGGGGACAAAGUGACAGGUGGUGCAUGGUUGUCGUCAGCUCGUGUCGUGAGAUGUUGGGUUAAGUCCCGCAACGAGCGCAACCCUUAAGCUUAGUUGCCAUCAUUAAGUUGGGCACUCUAAGUUGACUGCCGGUGACAAACCGGAGGAAGGUGGGGAUGACGUCAAAUCAUCAUGCCCCUUAUGAUUUGGGCUACACACGUGCUACAAUGGACAAUACAAAGGGCAGCGAAACCGCGAGGUCAAGCAAAUCCCAUAAAGUUGUUCUCAGUUCGGAUUGUAGUCUGCAACUCGACUACAUGAAGCUGGAAUCGCUAGUAAUCGUAGAUCAGCAUGCUACGGUGAAUACGUUCCCGGGUCU